GGGGGGGGGGGGUAAAUCUCUUCGGAUAAUCUGGGUAGCUGGGCCACUCUCAAGGGACGAGAUGGGACUAAUUGCUAGCUUGAAAGACAAAUGAAAGCAUUUCUCUCAUUUGGGGAAAGCAGUAAGAAGAAUCUCUUUCAAUGUGGAAUAAGAAGUGGAAAUAGAUUUUAUAUUUGAAAGAAGAGGUGGAUUCAGUCCCCUUUAGCUGUGGGGGCAAAAAAAAAGAGGACGGGUGCUCUUUCUCGAAAAAGAAUGGGAUGAGUCACUGUGAGGAGGCAGGUAGCACAUGUUUUUUCGGCUUGGGUGAUGAAUGAAAAGUGGAGACAUUCUUCGGUUUGGGGCGAGAUGAGUCAAAUGCCCCAAGUUGUUCCUAAUUUAAAGGGAAUUCCAUAAGGUCCUCUCAGAUCCAUGGAAUAGGCAAACAGUUCCCUGUAGUUUGAAGGAAAGGGAAGGCGGCGCCUCUGGGCUCUGGAGAGAUGAGGAAUAGCCAGCUUUUCAGCCUGGAAAGAGCCGGGUCCGUCCCGGCCUUGAGGUUUCUGGGUACGUUGAGAGCACCGUUGUCCAUUAGGCUUUCUGGGUGUGCCCAGUGCGCGUGCGCAGCUGUGGUCCGGUAGGGGGGUCCCAGGUUUUGGAGAUCGUGCUGGAAGGCGGCAGCGCACCGCCCCCUGCGGUUUUCUCAGCUUAGCACUGGGACCCGCAGCCUGAGCACCUGGGACGGGUGGCCCGCUGCUGGGCGGUGUUCUGCAGUAGCUGCGCUUGUCUCUGCUUCCCGAGACCCCCGUCCUUCUUGGUGCUCCGGGACGCGGUGGCUGGUCACCUUUCUGAAUCCGGAGGAGAGGCGGUUUAGGAGAGCACACUCGAAAGAGUGGGUUUCAGGACUCGAGGGGUUAGGAGGGUUAUGCUGGGGAAUUUCCGGAGAUGAGAUUAACCUAGAAGAGAUGGAGGAGGGGAUCCUAACUGCUAGGAUCCUGGGCAGGGUCUCGGGGUCCGGACCUGGCCUGGGGGUAUCGGAGCUCGGAUUGGGGGGAGUGAGCCCCACGUGCCUGUGACGCGGGGGCGCCGGGUAGGCGGCGGCAGCGGCGGCGGCGGCGGCGGCAGCGACGCGGGGCCGGCGGCCGUGCAGUGCCCGGAGGACAGCAAGAUGCUGAGCGCCGCACUGCUUCUUCUGCCCGGGUUGCCCCUGGCGGGGGCGGGGGCCACAGAAGAACCCACCCAGGAGUCCGGGCCGUUGGGUGAGCCUCCUCCAGGCUUGGCGCUCUUCCGCUGGCAGUGGCACGAGGUGGAGGCGCCCUACCUGGUGGCCCUGUGGAUCCUGGUGGCCAGCUUAGCCAAAAUCGUGUUCCACCUGUCCCGGAAGGUAACAUCUCUGGUCCCUGAGAGCUGCCUGCUGAUUUUGCUGGGCCUGGUGCUAGGGGGCAUUGUCUUAGCCGUGGCCAAGAAGGCUGAGUACCAGCUGGAGCCGGGGACCUUCUUCCUUUUCCUGCUCCCUCCCAUCGUGCUAGACUCAGGCUAUUUCAUGCCCAGCCGGCUGUUUUUUGACAACUUGGGUGCCAUCCUCACCUACGCCGUGGUGGGCACACUCUGGAAUGCCUUCACAACAGGUGUUGCCCUUUGGGGCCUGCAGCAGGCUGGACUUGUGGCUCCUAGGGUACAGGCUGGCCUGCUGGAUUUCUUGCUGUUUGGGAGUCUCAUCUCAGCAGUGGACCCUGUGGCCGUGUUGGCCGUCUUUGAGGAGGUGCAUGUCAAUCAGACCCUCUUUAUCAUCAUCUUCGGCGAGUCUCUGCUCAAUGAUGCAGUAACUGUGGUGCUGUACAAGGUCUGCAACUCCUUUGUGGAGAUGGGCUCUGCCAACGUGCAGGCCACUGACUACCUAAAGGGCGUCGCCUCCCUGUUUGUGGUCAGUCUGGGCGGGGCAGCGGUGGGCUUAGUCUUUGCCUUCCUCCUGGCCCUGACCACACGCUUCACCAAGCGGGUCCGCAUCAUCGAGCCGUUGCUGGUCUUCCUCCUCGCCUACGCAGCCUACCUCACUGCUGAGAUGGCCUCGUUGUCCGCCAUUCUUGCGGUGACCAUGUGUGGCCUGGGAUGUAAGAAAUACGUGGAAGCCAACAUCUCCCAUAAGUCCCGCACGGCUGUCAAGUACACGAUGAAAACACUCGCCAGCUGUGCCGAAACGGUCAUCUUCAUGUUACUUGGCAUCUCGGCCGUGGACUCUUCCAAAUGGGCCUGGGACUCUGGGCUGGUGCUGGGCACCCUCUUCUUCAUCCUGUUCUUCCGAGCCCUCGGUAUUGCUGGCGCCCUCUGCUCCCCUGUCCCCUUCCUUUCCCCUCUCGCCGCCCCUCAUCCCCUCAGUCCAAGUUCACAUCCACAUCAAUUCCCAUGCCUCCCCGCAGCGCUCACCUGUCCUGACCCCUGCCAGACCUUAGCCCAGAUGCUUGGUGCCGGGCUCCCAGUGUCCUCCACUCCCAACUCCUUGCUCCCGCUGGCCCUCCCUCCUGCUGUAGGCGUGGUCUUGCAGACGUGGGCGCUGAAUCAGUUCCGGCUGGUCCCUCUGGACAAGAUUGACCAGGUGGUGAUGUCCUAUGGGGGCCUUCGGGGGGCUGUGGCCUUUGCUCUCGUCAUCCUCCUGGACAGGACCAAAGUCCCUGCCAAGGACUACUUUGUGGCCACCACUAUUGUGGUGGUCUUCUUCACCGUCAUCGUGCAGGGUUUGACCAUCAAGCCACUGGUCAAGUGGCUGAGGGUGAAGAGGAGUGAUUACCACAAACCCACCUUGAACCAGGAGCUGCAUGAGCACACUUUUGACCACAUUCUGGCCGCAGUGGAGGACGUUGUGGGGCACCAUGGCUACCACUACUGGAGGGACAGGUGGGAACAGUUUGACAAGAAGUACCUGAGUCAGCUCUUGAUGCGGCGGUCAGCCUAUCGUAUCCGCGACCAGAUCUGGGAUGUGUACUACAGACUCAACAUCCGAGAUGCCAUCAGCUUUGUGGACCAGGGAGGCCAUGUCUUGUCCUCCACAGGACUCACUCUGCCCUCUAUGCCUAGCAGAAAUUCUGUGGCAGAGACCUCUGUCACCAACCUGUUGAGGGAGAGCGGCAGUGGAGCGUGUCUGGAUCUGCAGGUGAUUGACACGGUGCGCAGCGGCCGAGACCGGGAGGAUGCCGUGAUGCAUCAUCUGCUCUGUGGAGGCCUCUACAAGCCACGGCGCAGGAUCCAUAUCAUCUGAACAUUUGCUAAGCCUGUUAACUUUACAUCCAUCUAAACCAUCAUAAACAUUGAACAGGAUAGAGCUGAGGACAGAACCCUGUGGCAAGCUCCUUAAGACUUUCUUCCAGGCUGACAUGGAUGGAGCGUUUUUGGGUACAAAGCUAGCUGCGGCCGCCACUUCAUCUCAGAGGAUGCCCAGGAGCGACAGGACAAGGAGAUCUUCCAGCAGAACAUGAAGCGACGGCUUGAGUCCUUUAAGUCCACCAAACAUAACAUCUGUUUCACCAAGAGCAAACCUCGGCCCCGAAAGACCAGCCAUAAGAAGAAGGAUGGUGUGGCUAAUCCCGAAGCUACCAAUGGGAAGCCUCCUCGAGACCUGGGCUUUCAGGACACAGCUGCAGUGAUACUAACCGUGGAGUCUGAGGAGGAGGAAGAAAGCGACAGUUCAGAGACAGAGAAAGAGGACGAUGAAGGGAUCAUCUUUGUGGCUCGUGCCACCAGUGAGGUUCUCCAGGAAGGCAAGGUCUCAGGAAGCCUUGAGGUGUGUCCAAGCCCACGCAUCAUUCCCCCAUCCCCAACCUGUGCAGAGAAGGAGUUACCCUGGAAGAGUGGGCAGGGAGACCUGGCUGUGUAUGUGUCUUCAGAAACAACCAAGAUCGUGCCUGUGGACAUGCAGACAGGCUGGAACCAGAGCAUCUCGUCCCUGGAGAGCCUGGCAUCCCCUCCCUGCACCCAGCCCCCGACUUUAACCCGCUUACCCCCCCACCCUCUGGUCACUGAAGAGCCCCAGGUUCCUAUUGACCUGUCUUCUGACCCUCGCUCUAGCUUUGCCUUCCCCCCAAGCCUGGCCAAAGCUGGUCGUUCUCGAAGUGAGAGCAGCGCUGACAUCCCCCAGCAGGAGUUGCAGCCCCUCAUGGGCCACAAGGACCACACUCACCUUAGUCCGGGCACUGCCAACUCCCACUGGUGCAUCCAGUUCAACCGAGGAGGCAGGCUGUAGCCCAGGCCUCAGGGGGGAGCAGGAGUGGAGCCCCUGUGGGGAGUGCUCUUCAGCCUGGGCAGAGGAGCCUACCCAGCCUGGACUGAAGUGGUAACGGCCUCCUUGGGACUGGUCAGAAGGGUUUCCUGGGCUGGUCCUCACAGGGACCCUUCUCCCCUCUCUCCCUGCCCUCAACCCUUCCCACUUUUCAUUUCGAAAAAUGGCUCAGGAUCCAGUCCAGAGUUCUAAGGGAUAGGCCCCCAAGCUGCUGUCCCUUCCCUAGGGCGUCUUUCUGGACUUAGUGUUGGCAGCUGUUCCUCCCCACAAACCAUCAUUCUUCAGUGGACACUGGUCCCCCCUGACCUCCACCCUCUCCCCUGCACCAGGUCAGGAUCAUUGCCCUGGCAGCGAGGCUGUCGGAGGGGCUGGUCCUCAGAGCAGCUGGGCUAGGAGAGAGCUCAGUCAGGUCAGCUAACUUGUGGGGUCAGCCACACGAGUACCACAUCUUGCUUUAACCCUUUCCCUCUGCUUUCAGUUAUUGAGGUCAUGGUGAGUCUUUUUCUAGGACCUAGGCGCUGGGCCAGGCUUUCCUUCAGAGCUGCUUUAUAGCCAGUCUACUGCAUUAGGUCUAAAUCUGAACUUUCUGAGGCUUGGAUCUGAGAUUUUUUUAGAGUAGGAGACAGGUCUCUGGGCCCGUCACCACCUCAGAAUUUUCCCAAAGGGAGAAGGGACCAAGUCUCCCAGGGCCAGUGCACCGUUCCUGGUGGAGCUGGGAUGCCUGGCUGCAAUGUUUGGGGGCAGCUAGCUGACUAACAGGUGACUUUCCCGGGGUUAGCCCCUGCCGUGUGUUUUGUACCUUAAACCCGAGAUACAUUAAACAUCUCUCAGAUGAA